CCCAGUUGGGAUCUGAAGAGUUGUUGCUGUUGGCCAAAUUUCGAGUGUUCGGAAUUAGGGCAUUUGAUUAUUACUCUCUGCGAUUAUUUUCUGAACUGAAUUAUAGCGUAUAUGUCAAUUCGGUUUGUUUAGUUUAUAUCCGAGUCUGAAGGCGAGUUGUGAAUUCAUGUUGAACGUUAUGUCUUUCGAUUGAAUUUGCUAUUUGUGGAUCUUAGAUGGGUGGGGAUCGUGAAAUAAGAAGAGAAAAAGUUCAUCCUCAUGGAACAACUCAGAAUCAGUGGUUGAUGCAGCCUCAGACAAUGGAGCAACUGAUGGCCAUUCUAGCUGAAAGGGAUGCUGCCAUCCAAGAAAGAAAUUUAGCCCUUUCAGAAAAAAAGGCUGUUUUGGCUCAGCGGGACUUGGCUAUUCUGGAGCGAGAUGCAGCAAUUGUGGAAAGGGAUAAUGCCCUACUGGAACGAGACAAUGUCAUUUCAACACUUCGAUACAGGGGGAACUCCAUGAACAGCUGCAACUGGGGGAAAAGGAAAGAGAAUGCAUGACGCAACAAAGUGGCUGAAGAAAGUUGAUGGAGGUUUGUUAGCAGUUGGAUUCUAGUCUCUGCCCAACCUUGAAGCAUGGAACAUUGUUCGGCUGCUGAAAGGAGGGAGGAAACGAAUAGAGGGAGAGAUGAUAACUUUUCAUUGUUAGCAUUCAAUGUGAAGAUAUUGUUUUAUUGGUAACUUCCACACUUGGAUAAUGAUAAAUCACCAGUCACGUUAGUUUGUUCA